rnacentral:rRNA from 1 species
UACGGGGAGCAGCAGGCGCGAAACCUUUACACUGCACGACAGUGCGAUAAGGGAACUCCGAGUGCGAGGGCAUAGAGCCCUCGCUUUUCUGCACCUUAAGGUGGUGCAGGAAGAAGGGCUGGGCAAGACCGGUGCCAGCCGCCGCGGUAAUACCGGCAGCCCAAGUGAUGGCCGCUAUUAUUGGGCCUAAAGCGUCCGUAGCCGGCCGAACAGGUCCGUCGGGAAAUCUGCUCGCCCAACGAGCAGGCGUCCGGCGGAAACCAGUCGGCUUGGGGCCGGAAGACCCGAGGGGUACGUCCGGGGUAGGAGUGAAAUCUCAUAAACCUGGACGGACCGCCGGUGGCGAAAGCGCCUCGGGAAGACGGACCCGACGGUGAGGGACGAAAGCUAGGGUCUCGAACCGGAUUAGAUACCCGGGUAGUCCUGGCCGUAAACGAUGUCCGCUAGGUGUGACGCAGGCCACGAGCCUGCGCUGUGCCAAAGGGAAGCCGCGAAGCGAGCCCCCUGGGAAGUACGUCCGCAAGGAUGAAACUUAAAGGAAUUGGCGGGGGAGCAC